rnacentral:lncRNA from 1 species
AAAUGUAUCUAAAACAUAAAAUUUUAUUUUGAUUUGUUCAUUUUCUAGGAUAAUUAUUAUUUUAGAUCGCUCCAAACUAUGAAAUUAAUUGACCAUAUGUAUAUAUUUUAAUCAUUCUGCGUAUUGCUAUGCAUCACCGAUUUUGGAUAUGCUGUAUACACAAAUAGAUACUUCUGGAUGCUCUAAAUAAUCAUUUACCUGGGAGAACAAUGAACAGAUACAGUAACAAAGUAUUUAUGAGCAAAUAAUAAAAAUUACCUUCAUCCAUCUG